rnacentral:ncRNA from 1 species
AGGUGGUGCAUGGCUGUCGUCAGCUCGAGCCGUAAGGUGUUGGGUUAAGUCUCGCAACGAGCGCAACCCUCGUGUUUAGUUGCCACUAUGAGUUUGGAACCCUGAACAGACCGCCGGUGUUAAGCCGGAGGAAGGAGAGGAUGAGGCCAAGUCAUCA